rnacentral:pre_miRNA from 1 species
GUCCGUCUUAUUUGAAAAAAUUAAAAAGAGAAGUCACACAUAAAACAUUAAUCAUGUUUUAUCAUCUAACAAUAAUGAAAAUACGAAUUAUAAAAAAAAUUCAUAUAAGACGGAUAGUCAAAGUUGUACACGGAAACUCAGGGUUUGUCUUUUU